rnacentral:rRNA from 1 species
AUUGAACGCUGGCGGCAUGCCCUACACAUGCAAGUCGAACGGCAGCACGGGAGCAAUCCUGGUGGCGAGUGGCGAACGGGUGAGUAAUGUAUCGGAACGUGCCUUGUCGUGGGGGAUAACGUAGCGAAAGCUACGCUAAUACCGCAUACCAUCCAAGGAUGAAAGCGGGGGAUCGCAAGACCUCGCGCGACAAGAGUGGCCGAUAUCAGAUUAGGUUGUUGGUGGGGUAAAGGCCUACCAAGCCGACGAUCUGUAGCUGGUCUGAGAGGACGACCAGCCACACUGGGACUGAGACACGGUCCCGACUCCUACGGGGGGCAGCAGUGAGGAAUAUUGGGCAAUGGGCGGAAGCCUGACCCAGCAACGCCGCGUGGAGGAUGAAGGCCUUCGGGUCGUAAACUCCUUUUGUACGGGGAAGGAGGAAGG